GUGGGCCACUGCGACUCACCGAGGGCCAGCGGCGCUGGGGCCAGGGGCUGGAGUUUGGAGAGUGAGCAGAGAGCACGCAGGGGCUGUGAACACCAACUUCUCUUUCAGGUCAAUUUGCUGCAAAGGGGAAGGUAAAGGUGGAGGUAACUAAGGAGCAGGGCAAGAGAGGGGUGUGGUUUUCUGUAGGGUCCAGCCCUACGGGGGCUUAGCAGGUGUCCUCCCCGUGUGCAGAGACCAGAGAUUGUAAUAAAGACACGAGAUAAAGAGCAGCUGGGCCCCGGGGGACCACUACCAUCAAGACGUGGAGACCGGUAGUGGCCCUGAGCGCCUAGGUGCGCUGAUAUUUAUUGCAUACAAGACAAGGGGGCAGGGUAAGGAGGGUGAAUCUUCUAAGUGAUAAAGUGAAGCAAGUCACGUGAUCAUAGGACAGGGGGCCCUUCCCUCUUAGGCAGCCGAAGCAAAGAGAGAAGGCAGCAUAUGUCAGCAUUUUCUUCUCUGCACUUAGAAGAACGAUCAAAGACUUUAAGACUUUCACUAUUUCUUCUACCGCUAUCUACUACGAACUUCAAAGAGGAGCCAGGAGUACGGGAGGAGCAUGAAAGUGGAUAAGGAGUGUGAUCAUUCAAGCACCACAGGGAGGGGGUUAGGCCUCCGGAUGACUGCAGGCCAGGCCUGGAGAAUAUCCAGCCUCCCACAAGAAGCUGGUGGAGCAGAGUGUUCCCUGACUCCUCCAAGGAAAGGAGACUCCCUUUCACGGUCGGCUAAGUAACGGGUGCCUUCCCAGGCACUGGCGUUACCGCUUGACCAAGGAGCCCUCAAGCGGCCCUUAUGUUGGCGUGACAGAGGGCUCACCUCUUGCCUUCUAGGUCACUUCUCACAACGUCCCUUCAGCACCUGACCCUAUACCCGCCGGUUAUUCCUAGGUUGUAUUAGUAAUGCCACAAAGAGUAAUAUUAAAAGCUAAUGACUAAUAUUUAUAAUAAUGAUUGAUAAUUUUCCAUGAUCAUCUCUGUAUCUAAUUCGUAU
rnacentral:lncRNA from 1 species